ACACGGACGACGACGACGGCGAAGACGUGCGCAUAUACGCUCGACAAGUAAGACGAUCGCGCGGGAGACGGGAUUUUCGUAAAUAUUUUUUAUUAUUAUUAUUAUUAUUAUUAUUAUUUUUUCUUUACGAAAAUCGCGUCCUUCGACAUCGCGUAAUAUUCGUACGAUAAUAUUACCGUACACACCAUGCCGUUGUGUUGAUGCUCGCGAUAACAUUCCAACUUUAUUAGCAAUUAUUUUAUUAUUACUGUUUUUUUCCACGCGCGUAAUACGACAUUAUUAAGAUUGCCGUGCAUUUACUCUACGGCGAAAAUACGAAAACAAUUUUUUUUUUUUUUUUGAAAAAUACGAAAUAAAUAAUAAUAAUAUGUACCCGAGUAACGUACCCGUCGUGUACGUAAACGAACACGCCGAACGAAAAUCUAUUUUAUCGUAAAAAACGAACGAUUAUAAUAAAUUGCCGUGCAUUUACUCUACGGCGAAAAUACGAAAACAAUUUUUUUUUUUUUUUUUUUUUUCUAGACAUUUCUAAGCGAACAAAUAUAACACGCAGUUUGUUGACGAGGCGCGAGCGGACGAUCUCGUAGAGGAAAUUAUGCGGUUCUCUGCAUCGUCCCAUUGUUCGUGAAUUAGUCGUCGUUAAAGUGAGUUAAAUAUUUUUGUUAUUACUAUUACUACGUAUUUAUUAUUGUAUUGUUAAAUCGGUGCUCGGUUCGGUAGGGGGCGGGGCCGCACGGGGAUGAGUCUUCUGCAGUACUUGUAAUUUUUUUUUUUUUAUUAUUAUUAUUAUUAUUAUUUCUAGCGUCCUCUUACUCGUAAUUUUUGCCGGAACGGAGGAACGGUACGUAAAUAACGGUGUUUUCAAAACAAAAAAAAAAAGGAAAAUAGCUACUGUUGUAGUUGGGUAGUCGGUCGGGUGGGUAACGUAGUUAUUUAAUUUAUACACGUAAGCGACGAUAAACCGUUGGUAGCGAAAAACGAUCCGGGGGCGAAGUUCGGUUACGGUACGUGUUUCGAAAGGCCGUAAUACUUACGAUUUUCGUCAACAAAUUAAUUUUCAAACGCUUAUAAAUAGAAAAAAAAAAUACAACGGUAUCAUAUUUAUUUUUUAGCAUUAAUUACAACUAAUAAACUCCCGUUAAAUGUUCAAGUAUUUUCCGUUCGGUCAUUUUUAUCCAAAGGGUACCUACUUAAUAAAAACUACGUAAAUUCUCGGAAAACUAGAAUGUCAAACAAUUUCAAGUCUCUACGAAUAUUAUAAAAUUGAAUCAUAACAAAAACAAUAUUCAAAAGAUGUUCUAAGAUAAUGUGGACGGUUUCAGCCACUGUUGUAGAUAAUUUAGCGUGAAAAAACUGAACAAGUUUCUCGUAGAAAAGUUGUAAAAAAAUUAAACAUCUUAGUAAAAGCAUACAAUUCUUCGCUCUACUCAGAAUCUAAAAUAAUAAACGAAUUAUUUUCUUGAACUUUCCUAUUAUUUCCACGUUUUUUCCGAUUUUCACGAACUGUUAUCAAAUAUAUAAAUAAAAAAAAAAACGGCUUUCUUAUUUACUAAUAAGAUUAAAAAUGUAAAAAAAAUUAAACCUCUUAUUGAUUUUUUAUUUUUAUUUUUAAUAUUUUUUUUUAGAAAUAAGACGUACAAAUUUAAAAUUAAAGAAUUCUUUAAAUUUAUCAAUUUUCAUUUUUCGGUUUUUUUCAAUUAUUACAAAAACUACCGAGAAAAUAAAAAAACAAAUCAUUUACUCAUGAGCUAAAUUAAAAAUGAAACAAAAAGCGUCACUUGUCAUUUUUCUAUUAGAACUAUGUUUUUUGUAGAAAACAAAAUCCGUAAAAAUUUAAAAAAAUUAAAUCGUAGUACAGUAAUUUAAAAAAACAAAAACCUUAUUUUCCGUCUUAGUUUUUCACAAUUAUUAAGAGUAAUACUUUAAUCAUCAAAAACGACUUUCUUUGUCAGUGAAUAUACAUGCUAAAAGAACACAAAAUUGGUAUUUUUUAUUUUUCAAUUGGAGUAAUAAUUUUAGAGUAAAAAACAAUAGCUCAAAAAAACGAAUCGUGUAAAAAAAAUUAAAAAGACGCCCGAGAAUAAUGGGGCCGGGCGCAGCAGCCACUGUUAUGGGUAAUUUGAUGUAAGGAACAAGAAACCAUGACUUACGCGAAAACGAUUCUGAGGGAAAUUCAGGUAUCGGUAUUAUAUAGAAGUGGUAAUGAAUUAAACGAUCGAAAAUGGUUUUAAGAAUAUAAAUUUAUAAAAUGGCUAUUUGUAGCAAAAAAAAAAAAAAAACAAGAUACAGUGGACGCCACUUAUAAUAACUACGGAUAUACGAUCCAGUGCGGUCGCCACUCGGGGCACGUCCUCCACUCCCCGAAAAUUUUCUUUUUUCUUUCGUACGAUUGUAUAGCAGUCUACAUAAAUUCGUUGUAUGAAUAAAAUUUAUUAUUAGUAGUACUUUUAUAAGUAUAAAAUUUAUUGGUUUUCACCGUUAUACCUGUGUAUAAUAUAUGAAUCCACUUACUACGGAAACUAACGAAUUUAACGAAUCUAACGAAAUUGAGUUACUACCGGAUUUAUAUUCAUUUACCUUCAAUAGGUAUAAUAUAUUAUGAGAAAAGCUGUCCUAGGACAACGGGGACGGAUGAAGCCACAGUCAUAGGUAAUUUAAUGUAUAUCUCUGUUUAACGAUAAACAAUUGCUAACGGAAAAACGGUUCUGAGCGGAGGUCAGUUGACAGCGAUGUUUUAUCAACAGUUUAUAAUACGUCAUAUUAUAGUAAAACAAUUAAAUAGGCAUUAUAUAUUUUCUUUACGAAUAUUUCUUUAAUGUUGUACCGAUUUAUCCAGUUUUCUUACAUUUUCCGGGUUUUCCCACGGUUUAUUCCGGUUUUUCACAUUUGCUGGGAAAACUCUUGGUAAAAAACGACUUUCGUAAAGUCAAAUUUCCUUUUAGAAAAAUUGCUAUCGUUAUAAAUUGAACCAAAAUUUCUGGUAGAAAAAUCGUUACUAAUACCUGCAUUUCUUAUAUUUUCCCGUUUUUCCUCAGGUUAUUUUUUUCGAUUUUUCAUAUUCGAUGAGAAAACUCCUGAAAAUAUCGAUAUUUGACUUUUCUUAAGUAUCUUUUCACACCGAUUUCCUUUCAGAAUAGAUAAAAAUCUAUGUCACUAUUCUGGUAGAAAAUUUGCGCACAGAUAAAACAAAAAAAAAAAAAAAAAAAAUAUAAUAAAAUAAAUAUCCGUGUAAAACCAUAAGCUUCUUCGCUCCACACUGAAUCUAAAAACAAUGAAAUCGGUAAUUUAUUACCCGGUAUUAUUCGCUAACGGUUUACCUAAAAUUUUCUUUCAGGUUUUUUUCUGAUUAUUUGGAAAACCCCUUGGAAAAUUAAAAAAUAACGUCUUCAACGCACUAACUAGAUAAAAUUACCUUUCAGAAAAACUGCCACACUUGAUACUUCGGAGUGAGUUUUCCGGUAAUAAAGUGGCUAGUACAAAAACAAAAAAAAACCACCCGCGUUACAGUACAAACUAAUAGAUCCCACACGUUACGCUUCGUUUCUAAAAAACGUAAAAAAAAACACGCACCGUCGGCUAAAAUUGUUAAUAUUGAACACCGAACGAUUGUCGCGUGCGUAUUAUUCUUCUUUGCCCCCCCCCCCUCUCGCGCAAUAACAUGUACAAGCCAUUUGACCGACGUCAAACACAGUUGGGUAAUUCGCCGAAGGUACACGUGAAACAAUGUUUGGCGCGCGUGUAUGAAGAAAUCGAAAUAACUCGGCCGGGAUGUGGCGGGGCAUUUUGUUUUGUUUUUUUUUUCUUUUAUAAAUAAAUCACAAAAUAUUUUCGAGGUACGUUUACCUGCCGCGGUCAAUGUCCCCCGCCCGCGGGUUAGAUUCGACAUUGUCAAAAUGCGAGGGACGCGCAUUUUCUGUCUCGAGUCUCGCACAGUCGCUCUUGUUUUAUACUUUCGUGCGAACUCGCGUAUUAAAACAUUAUAGCAGUGUAACGGCCACGUCGGUCGGUCGGUCGUCGUAACUAUAGACCGAACUCUGCAGAGUUUCCCUGAUACUUUUGAUUUUUAUUUACAACCAUUGACUAUAAAUACGCCGACGACGUUUACUGCCGGCCAAAGACUCCCGGUCGGUUACUGUACUUACACUACUGCAACUACGCUAUAAUAUAUACGUGUUGUGUUAUUAUACUUACCUUAACACUAUACCCAUAUAAUAAUAAUAUACUACACGUAAAAAAUAAUAAUAAUAAAAACUUUUUUUUUUUUUUAUUAUUAUUUUUCUUUUAAACUUUUUUUUUUUUUCGCCUUUUAUUUCUUUACUAUUACUAUUAUCGUUGCAGCGACGACGACGACGACGACGGAAACACGCAGUAGAGAUUCGCACUUGUUAUUAUUAUUAUACUGCCGCCUAUAUAUGUAUAUACACGCAGUUUGUAUAUACACUAGUAUUAUACCAGUGUACCGGUACUGGUGCGCUGUACGCGCUGUAUAUUUCCCGCUGCAUCCCCUCGUAUAUACCCCGUACAUAUAAUAAAAGCACGCGGCUCCCGCAAAAAAAAAAAAAAAAAAAAAAAAAAUGAAAAAAAGGAGAAAAAGAAAUAAAAAUCAAAAGUAAAAUAAAUAAAAAGAGGCUAGCGACGUAUUCGCGUAUUACAGCUACUAUAUUAUUCUCUUUUGUGCAGUAUCGCCGCCGCCGCGUCUCGGCGACGCGCGCGCGGCGCAACGCCCGGGACGUGGCCGUUUACCGUUGCCGGUAUAUUAUUAUAGGUGCCUUAAUAGUAGAAAAAAAAAAAAUAUAUAAAAAAAAAAUAUUAAAUUAUGUACGUGUAUAACGGCGACGGGAUAGACGCGGAGGAUAGGUCAAUAUAAUAUUAAUAUCGUUAUUUUAUUCGCGACAAUUUUUUUUUUUUGUUUUUUUUUACGUUUAUACUUAUAUUCAUGUACACACACACACACGUUGUAUUCCGUAAUACGCGCGGCGUAAAUACCGCGCCUACCCCUAUUCCGCCGUCGUUCGCCACUCGUCGUAAUAUUAUCAUAACGUAUUGCCGCGGUGACGACGACGACGACGGCCGCGUCGGUCUUCCGACCGCGGAACGUUAUCGCCACCGGCUGGCGGGCGGACGCAGGAGCGUAUCAUAAUAAAACGUUAUAAAUUCAUAAAGCGGUCGCCCGGCGUACCCGGCGCAAUAAUGUCAAUGACGACGACGACGACGAUGAUAAUAAUAAUAAGCGAUUCGGAUGAUAUCGCAAUUUAAUUCCGCGAGCGUCUUGAAAAUUGUUGCGGCGCGCGGCGGUCGGGCGACGGACGGGCACCAGGCCCGCCGCGGUUUAAUAGAAUAUUUUAUUUACGCGCGGCGCCGCGGCCGGCGUACGCCCGGACCCGGGACACACCUUAAUAAUAAUAAUAAUAAUAAUAAUAAUAAUUACGAACCGUACUUUUUACGACGCGCCCGCGUACGACAAACGCGCGGGGACGCGGACGGGACGAGACGGGCGAAUAUUAAAUUCGACGACACGCGGUAAUAAUUUAUAAUUUUUCAGUAAAACGCCGACGUUCUCGGCGGAAAGAACGGCGGGACGCGUGUGCGAACGGACACGCCGGGCCGUACGCGCACACGCCGCGUAACAAUGUCGUUUAUCGCGUAAAUACGUAAUGCGCGCUCUCCGGUUUCAAUUCGUUUUCGUCCCGUAACAACGAAUUCCGAUAUUAUUAUUAUUAUUAUUAUUGUUGUUGUUGUUGCGAUAUGAAUUAUUAUUACCGUUCUCGCGAAUCACUCACAUUUCGGGGAUCGCGAUCGCGCCGGUCUCGCCGUAAAUAUAUGUGCGCCGGCUUUUGUUGUUUUGUAUCGCCGGCUUUUCGGCCGCCGCCCCGAGAAGUCUCGCCCCGAUCGAAAAAUCCCCGGAAACUAUUUCGUCGCGCCGACGGGGCGAUUUUUUUACUUUUUUUUUUUUUUUUAUUUCCGCGAUUUUCCCGCGCGCUCUCCGUCACGACCAGCGGAAAACCGGCUGGCGGGGGCCGGGGCGGAAACGCACGGGAAAAACGGACAAAUAUUUACGGGCUCGCCGCGGCAUUACCGCUCUAUAUCGUUUUCUGUUUUAUACGCCGGAAACCAUUUUUUUUACGAGCAUACCGAACGCCUUUUCUGCCCGGACGUUUCGUCUAACCCCGGUGCAUAAGAAUAGUUUUUUAAACGAUCGGGAAAUAUCGUAAGAAAACGGGGAAAGUCUUCGGCCGGUAAUGAUUUCGUUGUUUUCGAAUUCUGUCCGGCGUUGCGAUCCGGUUAAAAAUAAUCGUACACAUAUGAGAUGUCGACGAAAUACUAAAUGUGUCGGCUUCCUCGGGACGCAUUGUAAAUUUCACAAUAUUUCCGCGUUAUAUUUAAAGGCAUUUGAUAAUUUCGAGUUUAUUUUUCAUGGUCAUCCAUUUGGUUUUACGCGGUGAAAAAAAAUUGUUCGGCCCAACAGAAGCGUUCGCCAAAUUCAACACGAGGUUCAUUAUAAGUUGCGAUUGGCGGCGAAAAAAAAAAGUCGAGCUAAAUGCGGUUGUUUUUCAAGCGGUUCGAAAACCACGGCUUUCUCAAGCAAAACACGUUCGGGAACGAACACUCCGUUUAGAAUCGUUUUCCGUUGGCAAUGAGUUACGGUCGCAGUUAUAAAUAAAAAUAAUCUAUAUACCAAUCGUCUAUCUACGGAUAAUAACAGCGCCCGUCUGCAGAAUCAGCUCAUUAUUUGUUUUUUGUUUGUUUAUACGUAAACAACGUUUUGAAUUUGUUUUUUGACGACGAUACAGUGAUACGAUUGCAUUGAAACGAAUUAAAAUGUCCAUGGUACGGAGCAAUUUGUAAUUAAACAUUACGAUGUUAAACAAAUGUAUAGUAAAACAACGCCAUAUACCUAUAUAAAAUAUACAUAAAUUAAAAUAAUAAUAAAUACAUUUAUUCGCGCGGGGUGAAGCGCCGCCGCCGUCGUAUUUUAUCUCGUAAACAUUUAAUUUGAAUUAAUCUAAACAAUUUUUUUUUUGAUUUUUUAUUUUUCGAUUAAAAUAUAUCCGUUAUCAAACAACAGUAAUCGCGGAUUAUUUAUUGCGCGUCGUCGUCGUCGUCGUCGUCGUCAAUAAUUAACACAUUGCGAUAGUAUUAUUGCGGUAUACGCGGUCCGCGUGAAAGCAACCCGUGUUAUAUGAAAGAAUAUCGAACAGUUUUUUUUCUUCGCGGUAAGUCGCGAUUUCUGGCGAGUGGGCGGAGGGGGGGGGGUGGUCUGUCUUUCGGUCCGCGCGAUAUUUAAAUUUUCAACAACACGCGCGCGUCCCAUCAGUUUAUAAUUUACGGCGCCGGCGACGCUAUUAUCACGAGUUUCGCGUUUUCUCCUGUACCGCGUUUCAGCUUCACCGAUAUACCUAUUCCUAACGCGGUCAAACAUCAUUUUAUCUAUAGGCAUUUGCAUUCCGUCUGUGUUUUUUUUUUUAAUAAUCGGGCGGCUGGCGCGCUCAUCACUAUAAUAUACAAUAUCGUACCUGUACUUUUUCAACGGUUUUUUUUUAUUAUUAAUUAUUAAUAUUAUAAUAACGUGUACACGUAAAUAAUAUACUUUAUUAGCUUGUACGGAAUAUUUAUAAAUUAUGGGCAACUGUUUUUUUCCGUUUUUAUUUAUAUAUCUUCGCGAACCAUAGGCCACGGGGAACGAGAAAAAUAAUUGCCGUGGGCGUAGAAAAGAAAAACUGAAUUAAUGUGCCGACGAGUUUGCCGCUGUUCAAAUCGCGGGAGAUCGAGUCAGGAAGGUAGGACGCAUAUAGAGUCAUAUGAAAUUAAUGUGUGUUCGCGACGAUAAAACGUUGCCAACGAAAUACGAUUCUGAGAGACGUUCGGUUAAACAUGUAAUUAUUUGCGGUGAUUUUGACGACCGAAAUGUCAAACAGCUGAAAAAUCGCCAAAAAGUUUUAAGAAUGUUGUCUGCGCUUUUAUAAAAUAAUGAAAUCGUUAAGUUGUACGUUUUCUUAAGUUUUUCCCCAAGUGCUUUUAUUUAAAAAAUGACGUCGAAAAUUAAAAAAUUACCUCUUUUUUAAAGUACCAUCUAGACAACUUGAGCUUUUAGAAAAAUUGCUGUACGUAAAAAUCGGCGCAAGUUUACUAGGAAAAAACGUGUUCACAGUCUAGAACAAAGAAAAAGAAGAAGAAGAAAAAAAAUAAAUAAAUAAACAGCAUUGUAAAACCAAUAGCUCCCUCGCUACGAUCGGAAUUUAAAAUAUAAGACAUGUAGAUAUUAGGUAAAAAUAUUAUGGCCUUUUUUUUUUUUUAGAAUUGAACUAGAUUCUAAAUUACAACAAUUUGUAUGCAAUCACAGUUAAAUAUAAAAACUUUCGGGUUUAUACUUCAAUAUUUUACAUUUAUACAUUUUAUUGAUUUCUUAAAAUAUACAGAUCAAUUAUAAAAUUGUAAUUAAAAAGAGAUCAUAGAAUAAUAGGGACGGGUGCAGCCACUGUUAUAGAUAAAUUAAUGUGUGUACCUGUAAAGAGCGAUUAACGAAAAAACGAUUCUGAGCUGAGUUCAGUCGACAUUUAUGUUUUGUCAGUAUAUAAUGCUAUAUGUCAUUUUAUAGUAAAAUAAUUAAAUAGACUUUAUAUAUUUUCUUUGAUAAUAUUCGUUUAAUGUUGUACCAAUUUUCCCAAUUUCGAAAAAUCGAAAAAUUACCUCUCUAAGUUAUUUCGUUAGUGAAAUUUUCUUUUAGAAACAUUGCUGUCAUUAAAAUUUGGAGCAAAAUUGCUGGUUAAAAAGUUUGUGGAGAAAAAAUAGUAAUAUUUUAGUAAUGUAUUUCAUAUAUUUUUCCGAUUUUUUUUCGGUUUUUCUAUUUAGAUGAUAAAACUCUAGAUAAAACCGCAAAUUAAAUUAUUACAAAUAAUUUAUUAGACGUCUUAGGAUAGUGGGAAAGGGUGCAGACUUUGUUAUAGAUAACUUAAUGUAUACUUGUAAGCAACAAUGCAAGCAUAAAUUGUUAUUUACGAAAUCCGAGCAAUUCUUUUGAUAGAAAAUUUAUUUACAUCUUUGUAAGACCAUAAGCUUUUUCGCUCCACUCAGAAUCUUAAAGAAAAUAUACGGUUAAAUAAUCGGAAAAUAAAAAUUCGAAAACAAUUCCCGUUUUUCCAACGCCUCCCAACCGGUUUUUAUCAAUUAUUCGGAAUACUCCCGAGGGGAGAUCAACAUACGAUCCCCUGAACGUACAACAAGAUACGAUUUGCUUUUUGAAGAUACGGUACACUUGCAAAUCAGAACGAUAUUCCUAGUAGAAAAGUUGAUUACAGAUAGAAAACACAUAUGCCGUCCAUAAUAAAACAAAAAUAUACGUUUAUCGCUACACAUAGAAUAUAAUGCCGACUGGGAUUUUACUGCGACGGAAUUAUUAAUUCGGAAAUAAGAGGUCCUUUUUUCGAAGACCGCGCCGGGAAAAGUUAAGGUACGCUCGUGUAAAAGUAGGAUUUAUUACGCCCUCGUUCUAUAAUAUACAGUAUUAUUAUGCUGUUCGUUAUUAUAUAGGGGGGGAGGGGUUGGGUUAGGUUGUGAUAGCGGUAGAACAUUAAAAACAACUAUUGAUAACUGUUUAUUUUAUUACUUAUAUAUAUUUUCGCGUGCAAUAACAGAACGACGAUGGCCUACACCGCGAGUGUUUAUAAGUUUAAACUUUCUAAUGAACUUACUUAAAAAAAAAAAACCAAACAAACAAGUAUAACAUAGCGCCGUUGUAAUAAUAAUUUUACACGUCUAUAAUAUAAUAAUACGCGACCGUAUAUUUAUUUCCUCCAAAGUUUUAAGUACGUGUAAUAAUAAUUAUUAUAAAAUGAUUAACGAUUGCAGCUUUUUAUUUGAUGGCUAUACGCGGAGUUCUAUAUAAUAUUAUUUUAAAACUCACGUGCACACCGCGUAUAGCGGGGCGUGCCGAGAAUUUCGUUUUUUUUUUUUUUACGAGGAGAAAGAGGUGACGGCCGGGUCUCGUACGAUAUUAAAAAAAAGAAAAACUUAUAGUAAUAAUGCAACACUCUUCGUUAAAAAAAUAUAAUAGUAAUUAUUAUUGUUAUAAGCCAGAGACAGUUUAUAGAUAGGUUGAUUAUAUAUAAUGUAUAGGGGGUGUGCGAAACCCCGAAAACACUCCCCCGGCACGCCCCUUCACACACAUACACACACACACACACAAACACACACACACACACACACGCAUACACACACAUGCAUAGAAACACACAAAUAGACGUCGCACAUAAGGCGUACGACGAAGAAUAACAAAAAAUAUUAUCUAAAACGCGAUGUUGUAUAGAAUUCGACUGUUUUUAUUUUCCGAUCGUCGUCGGUUUGUAUGAAUUUUUUUAACGAUACACGAUGACCAAUAUUUAUAGCGAACGCGAUAAACUAAAAAACAAAAAAAAAAAAAAAACCGCAAAUAUUUUCCGACAGUUGUUACAUUACAAUAUGUAGGUAUCUGAUAGUUUGAAAUUGGAAAUAAAUUAAAAUACGUAUAUUGUUCUUUUUUUUUUUUAACGAAUUUAAUCAUACGUUUGAACCUAUGAACGAUCGUAUAGAAACAAAAAAACACAUGCACAUACAACCAACGAAAAAAAAAAUAGGCAAUUUUAAAUAGACAUCAUAAUAAUGACUUACAACCCCGCCGAAAUGUAUUAAAAAUUUUACCGUCACGUUCAUAAUAAAAUCUCGAGUAUUCGGUGAAAACUCAACGAUUAUUAACUAUCACCGAGAACAAUAAUAACCAACAAAAUCGAAAUGACAGCGUGAAAAUAGCGUAGUUUUUACAAAUUUUAAAAAAAUUAUAUUAAAUUCAUUGUACAAAUGUAUAAAUGAAUUAAAAAUACAUACCUAUAAUUAUGAUAAAUUUAUACAUGUGUAUUAUGUAUCGAAUUUGAAUAAAAUAUUCUUUUCAUUAAUGCAAUUUUACAUACAUAAAAUGGGAUUCGUUUAAAAUUCAAAUUAAUUAGUAAAAUUUCACCGCUAUACGCAGGGUGAUUUUUUUUGCUACUAAAAAACUUCGUUUUUUCAGACACUGUUUUUAAAUAUAAUUUAUAUAUUAUGUGUAUACAAUUUUUUUUUUGCACUGCCUUUUUGCAACACAUUACAUUUUUUUUUUACCGUUUUGUAUUUACUUAAUUUCAUAUAUAUUUUAGUUUAUGGCUUUUUAUGGCGACAAAUUCUGUUUUACUUUUAUAACGAUAAAAUAACAUCGCGCUCAUUUGGUCCGGUAUUUAUAACGAAUUAACAAUCGACUGUUUAUGCGCAUUUAAGUCGUAAUAAAGAGGAGCAGUGCAUCAAAAUUAAUUAUUUACUACAAUGCCAUGUGUAUCCGCUAAAGUACUUGUACUAUACUCGUUGUACUAGCUGUUUAGUUGUUUUAAAAAAAAAAAAUUGUAUAUUGUUAUACGACAUUUUUCUUUAUAGUAUGAAAUAAAUAGCGACACUUCUGAGAAAAGUAUAAUAGACUUAGUUCAAUUACAUACAUUUAAUGUAUUAAAUCAAAUACGUUUUUUUUUAUAAGAAUUUAUGUAUAAGACGGAACUGUUAAACUAUUUGUAUUGUCAUAUAAAGAGUUUUUUUUAGAGAGAGGGAAAAAAAGCACACAUCACUGUGAAGUUAAUAACUUCCUCAACGCUGUGCUCGGAAUUUUAUAGGGGUUGUCAUUUAUAUAAUCAUAAAACGUAGAACAAAAAAAAUGAUUUGCAUAAAUUUAAUUUCACAAAUAUCUAUGGGUACUGUUAUAACAAUAGUAUUGUAUAUAUAGUCUUCUUUAGAGCCGUAAACAUAAACGUUUUUUUAAAUCAUCAAAUAUCGCCAACUUGACGAUACAUGCACGAUUAGUGACGAGUAUAUCGGCACAAAUCGACAUCGUGUAUCGGCCGUUGUUCAGUAUAUUCGGUGGGUUUUUCUUUUUCUUUUGAAAAACCGACAUUUGACUUUAUAUUUCCGGAUAAAGGCGCUUUUAAAUUAAAUACGGACAUACUUGGCACGACGGGCGGGUCACUGUUGUAGGUUAGAAUUCGGGGAGGUAGAGGGGGACAUUUAAUGUAUAUCAGCUGUAUUCAACGAAUUACUAAUAAAACAUUCUGAGCGGAGUUCAGUUGAAAACAUUGCUUUGUCAACAACAAUAUAUAUAUACGCCCCACUUGAACAAAAUAACUACAUACCUAAGCGUUAUAUACGUUUUUAAAUUUUUUAAAUUUUAAAUUAAAAUUUAUACUUGUCUAGUAUUGUACCGAUUUUCCCUGUUUUCCCAUUUGUUUUGGGAAACUUCUGGGGAAAAUCGAAAAAUUGCUAUAAACGAAAAGUGGAGUAAAAUUUCUGGGAAAAAAAAAAAAUAAAAUAAAAUAAACAACAUUGUAAAACCAAUAUACGUCUCUCAUUUCGCUCCGAAUCUUAAACGGUUUUCGCCGAACCCGUUUAACAAUUUCAAUAUUCCGACUCGCGGUUUUCGAUUUUAAACACCCGAUCGAUUUCACGAUUACGCAUCUCGUAUUCUCGUUGCUGAGGAGCCGUUCGUUUGACAUUUUAAAAACACCGUUUGAUAUUAUGUUACCCGGUGGAAUGAAAAAAUGUUACGGAGGUACGUAGUAUACAACGCAGCGGCGGCCGUAGAACGGACUGCGGCUGUUCCAACAAUCCGCGUACAGUUUCCCCGUCCACCGCGCGCCAUUGAUUGUUUGCCGAAAACGAUUUGUCGAACGCCGCGCGGUGUGCGAAAGAGCAGGACCGAGGACGGAACACGUACGGCGAGUUCUGAUGGACGCGGCCGACCGGCGGCGCAAAGUUGUCCGGGGCUGACGGACAACUGAGUUAUGACGGCCAAUCACGGAGCGCUGCGACGCGAUCGGCCAAUCGAAAAGCCGAUGGCCGUGUGCAGAAGAAUAAUAGUCCGCGUACACUUCUCCCGCAAUAGUCCGCACGUUUAAAAAAACGACCGUAAUAACUCGUGUCUUGUACCCGCCGUACGGCGAUGUUUUAUACGACCGGCCAACCGCGUUUUGUAUCGUGACGCGCGCGCGGGGUCAGGUCGACGGUCGGGGUGGGAGGUGUUGGUAUUAACCGGAAAAUUGAAAUACAUGUACAUAUAUUAUAUAUGUAUAAAAAAUAACAGUCUCGCGGCAGAAUGUGUCCGGGACCCGGAGAAGAAAAACUUUUUCACUCGAAUAACGGCGGUUGCUCGCCGCGUUAAUGUUAUUAUUAUGGGUGGCGGUAUACCUUCACGCUGCCUAUAUAAUAAUAUAAUAUCUCCUGGCUUUUCGUAAUAAUUUUUUACCACACCCCCUCCCCGGACGUAUGUAUGCAUGUGUUUAUAUAUAUAUAUUACACUUACUAUGUUUACGAUUAUUAUUUUACUGGUCUCUUGCUAUAUACAGUUAUUAGUACUAUUUUUUUCGCCCCCCACCCUUCUUUUUCCUUUUUUUUUUUUUUUACUACCUCGCCGCCGCCGCCGUCAUUGUUAUAUUACGGCUUUUCGCCAUGCCGCCGCCGCCGUCGUAAACCACUUCCCACCGCGAUACGCUUUUACCGAACGUGUUUCGCCGCAACAUUAACGUUUAGACAUGCGUAUUAUUGCAAUCAUAUUAUAUUAUAGUUGUGGUGGUAUUAUUAUUAUAUUAUCGCGGUAUAUCAACGGAUAUUACAUUAUGUACGCAAUUUUUAAGCACACAUAGGUAACUUAAUCGUAUUAUGAUUUCGCUUUUGUUUAUUGCCUCGCGACGGCGCCCGUAAUAGAUACGGUUUUAUUAUUUUCAAGGCGGGGUGAGUAAAAAAAAAAAAAAAAAGAGAAGAACAGAGCCUUUGGUUAAACGUUAACGAAAAAUACGUCAAACCGCUCGGUCGAAAUGCAUAAUGCGAUAACACACUUCGCCCGCGGUUAAAACUAUAGUUUAUUUUUUGAUUUUUUACGAACAGCUCCAAUGUUCGUAUGUUCAAUACGACGACGUAGCGUCUAUAAUAACGGUUUCUAAUCUUAAAAAUCCAUUGAAACGCACGAACAAAUUAUUAACUAAUUUCAUUUCCACCGUUGAUUAUUGAUAUGAAUUUUUCCGGCUUUUCGGUAAUAUUCAGUGCUCAGUUCUCCGCUAUAGUCGCAUACACCAUAUUUUCAUUUUAGAUUCUAAGUUUAUAACGAAAAAGCUAUUACUUAAUUUUUGCGCACUCUCGACUAUAUAGUAUGUACACGUUAUAUACAUUGUACACUCAAAAGCGUAUUUCGUACACUUAUAUUUCCAAACUUUUAUAGACGUACCUAUUAUACGAGACUCCCGUACACUAAGCAUAGGCCAUAAGACGCGUUGCUGUUUUAAUAGAAAUUACUUAACAUUUUACAAAACGACUAAACGGAGUGAAAAUUAUUUAUUAAAAGAAAUAACCGAGUUGUUCUUUGACUUUUUUCUUUAUUUUUUUUUUUUUUUGAUUCUGAACGGAGCGGGGAGAGAAUUGGUUUUUCAAUGAUAAUGAUUAUUUCCCUCCCCCUUUUUUUUUUUUUUAAUACUGUGUACGAAAAUUCUACCAGAAAUCUUGCACCGAAGUAUCAAGUGUAGCACGUUUUCUACGAGGGAUUUUUUUCGCGGGAAGGGGAUAGUUGACGAGGUGGUUUUUUUUGAUUAUCACUGGGGUUUUCAUAGUAAAUGGAAAAAACCGGGAACAGACGUCGGCGAAACCGGACGGUUUUACGAAUCGUAAAUACUACGGCCCGAUUGCCGUGCGAAGUGAAUCUUGUUUUUUUUUUGUUUUUUUGUUUUUCGUAACGCAAUACGAGUCGUAGCCGGUCCGUAGGCUUCGUCGACCGUUGCCCGGACACCGCGACGGUAUCCGCGCGGUAACGCGGCCCCGACGAACCGAGCCCGACCGCGGACACCGCGGAGUACAAUAACGGAACGUAGCGCAACGUCCGCGGAAUUUCUCCCCGCCGCCCCCGCCGCGGGACAUCGCAGUUGCCCGCGAUUCCGGGAUGUGCCGACACGUCGAUACGGUCUAAUCGCAGCAGCAGCAGCAGCAAUACCAUAACGGCACCGGGCGGCGAUUCGGGUUUAAUAUUAUGCGCCGUGCGCGCGCGGACGCCGUAGGUGUGCGCGCUUUUGCCGAGGCAAAAGCGCAUUAUAAUAAUAAUAAUAAUAAUAACAAUAAUUAUUGUUGUUGUUGUUGUUAUUAUUAUUAUUAUUAUCAUCAUUAUUAUUAUUAUUAUACGAGUAUCAACCGCAUAAUCCACGGCGCGAGGACCGAGAGAGCGCGCGCGCGCGCGCGCCCGCGUUAAGUUCUCCGGGGACCGUCACUAAUAUUAUUAGUAUUUACCUUAUUUUAUAGUUGUUGCUGCUGUUGUUAUUAUUAUUAUUAUUAUUAUAAUAUAGGUACACGUUAAUACAUUAGUAUUAAAAUACGCGCGCGCGCGCGAGGAGAGGACGCGGUGUCGGGGAGUGCGGAAACCGACGGCCGCGGGGUCGCGGGCGGCGGGCGGAAUUUCGGCGGCGCGCACGUAAGUGCAAAAGGGCGAAGGCGACCGCAAGAGCGGCGAACGUACACACACGCGUAUACAACACGCGUAUACAUAAGUAAUAAAAGUAAUCCAAUACACGUAUACGGCGCGCGUAUAUACGUAUGCGUGCGCUACCCCACAUGCCUACGUAACACUCGCGUCCGGGGUGGUUGAAAACACAAAAUUAUAAUAAUUAGCGAUGCGGGGUGAUUUUUUUUUUUUUUAUCGCGAACCGACGAUUAGGUCGAGUUAGGUCGGCCGGUUAUGGCGGGGUCGUCCGCCGCAGUACCGCGCGCGUAGCGCGUACGCGAUGCAAAUAAUAUACUAAUAGACAUAAUUCUCGAGUAAAUUUUAUGUUUCGCGUAUUUACCAAAAGACUCGGUGCUCGAACUGAUAAAGUAAAAGAAAAGGGACCAAAAAAAAAAAAUAAAUAAAUUAGCGUCCUUUGCAGCACAUAUCGAACUCAACCCCCAACCCGUAGAGGGCUUAUUCCUCCACGCCUCUCGCAUCAAUUUUCAAACAGAGUUCAGUGUUUCGAAAUUUCCGAAAACGAAAUCGUAAAGUAAACGUAUCGGAUAUAUUUCGUUGCUGAGCAAUCAUGUAGCUAAUUAAUAUAAGUUUGAAAAUAAAAAUAAAGACAAUUUACUUUGAAACGUUUAAGGGCGACAACGGUUAACCGCAGUAACAGUGACGGAGAUUGAAACAAGGGGGAAAUCUAGGGAGAAAUCGUUUCUAUUACACAUUAUUUGGCACGGGCAACGCCGGGCGGAACAGCGAGUAAUUUAUAAAUGUAGAAUAUAAGACGUAAUCAUAAAUUAGAGCCGGUAUGACCGACAUUUGGUGCGACCCCGGAUAUGUCUUGUUGUUGCAACACAAUUAAAACCAAUCGCUGCCAUUUUGUACAACGUCUCGGUAUUUAUUGGUCAGAUUCGUCUGGCUGUUUCGCCAAUCGACGUAUACUGUCAUUGUAAAUAAUAAUAGUUGAAAAACUGAUAUUCGCCAAAUGUCCGAUACUACGUCCGGUUGUUGCCGCCAGGAGGUUCGUUGCAUACAGCAAACAGCAUACAUAAACUAAACAAUUUUGUUUGUUCUAUGCGUUCCGGACGACAGCGGUCUAUCCGUUGGUGGUCGGUGCGCCAUAUUUUUUAAUAAUUAUAUAUAUAAAAAAAAAAUGGCAUUAGGAGUUCAAUGCGUCGGCUGUUCGACAAUAUAAGAGAAACCAAACACACUCGUAGACAGGCGAACAAACUAAACGUUUCUAGUAAAAGUCCAAGACAAUCAAGCGACCAAACGUAUUGUUUUUUUUUUUUACUGCAAAUACGAUUCGUAGUGAAAAAAAAAACAGUACAGCGAUCGCGGAUGACGAUUUUUACUGCAACAUAAUGAUAAUAUAUCGAAUUUAUUUUAUUGGAUUGUCCGACGAUAUUUUUCGGCGAGGGGGAUUCGCUUUGUUAUUGUUAUUAUUAUUAAUAUAUAUACGCACACACACAUAUCGCUUUAUAAACAUUAAAUUAAUUAAAUAUUCUAUUAAUAUCUCGUAUAUUACCGUUGUACUAUAUUUCAUUAGGCCGCUCGGCCAUAGUACACAACGUAAUGCGAUACAGUAUUUAUCGCGCGCGUUAUUUGUUAAACGUACCGUUUUCAGUGCGACGAUGUCGAUUUUAUCAUUUAUAUCGAACAUUGCCGUAUGGUGUAUACACAUACGAUAUUACGGCCCGGUAUAAAAUUAAUAAUAACAUUGACGGUGAUAUAUGUUAUUAUUGUUGUUAUUAUUAUUUCGGAGUCGAGAAUAUCGCAAACAGACGUCGAUAAUGUAGAGAGUGUCGUUAGUACCGUUGUAUACAACGUGUAGGGGACAAACUUGAUUUUAGCGUUAAAUAAAAAAAAAAUAAAAAAAAAAAACACAACGGUUGUGGUCGCAUGCUGUAGACGGGAAGUCGGGAACGUAGGUUCCAUACUGCGGUCGUUCAAUAUCUCUAUCCGUCUGCGACGGUAAAUCGCUGCUAACGAAACACCGUUCUGAGCGACGUUCACUUGAACACGAUUUUGAACUGUCGCAAUAUUUACUAUUUUCGUCAUAAUUUAAACUCGAAAUAAUUAUUUGAAAAAAAAAAAAAACAACGACUAGUUUACGCUCAACUUGUUUUUUACUGUAACGGCGAGUCUUGUAAAGCCCAUUACCCAACCUUCAUUACCACUGUGCAAUCAUAAUAUUUUCCUUCAAAUAAUUUACGGACCAAUUGGAUUCUUAUUAUUUUCAGAUAUUCAUUUACAGAAUCAAUGAAAUAUAUUUUGAUGAAAAACCAAUAAAAACAAACAAACGGGUGCAUCCACUGUUAUAGAUAGUUUAAUGUGCAACGUAAACCAUUGCUUACGAAAAAACGAUUAGAAAAUAGCUAUCAUUAUAAGUUGGAGCCAAAUCGCGUAUAGACAAGUUUUCCCUGGGUUUUUUUUUCCGGUUUUUUACAUCCGUUGAGAAAUCUCCCGAGAAAAUAGAAAAAAUUACGUAUUCGAAGUACCUUCCCAGUGAAAUUUCCUUUUAGAAAAGGUGCUACACGUAAAAAAAUUGAAGAUAAUCCUCUGGUAGAAAAGUUGCCCACAUUUUUGUGGAUCUUUUACAACUUUGUAAAACCGUAAGCUUCUUCGUUCCACUCAGAUUCUAAAAGUAAAAAUAACGUUGCACAAUGCAAAUGGACAUUUGGUUUAUCCAUAACCUGAGUAGUUUUCACUCCCGUGAAACCGUUUUUCGCGAAAACUAUUGUUAGUUUCACCAUCAAACAAUAAAUAUUAGUGGCCAAUGAGGAGGACUCUCCCACACCACAAACCUGUAGAACUUCUCAUUUCGACAAACGUAUAAUCUGAGAUUGCGUUAAAAUACAACCAAGAGUUGAUUGACCACAUGAUGUCCCACAGUUUGGAUUCAGUACUUAUGGUUCCACUCAUAAACAAAACCUAGAACCCAAUUCAUUUUCUCAAAACAAAACCGAUUUUUUAAAACAAUAUUUAAACAAAUGAAAAUAAAAUGACGUGUUGUAAUCUAUUUAUACAAAACAAUUGCAUUAAUAACGCAAAUUUUACUAUGCAAUUAUAGUGAUAAUGUAUUACUAUGUGAUAAUAUCACGCGAGACCGCUCGUCAAUAUAUUUCAAUGUGAUUGUGAACGUUUUUCGAGUUGAUGAAAUAUCACUUUUUUAAAAACGUCGUCGUGAGGGUUCCUACGGCCUAUCUUUCGAGACCCCUUGAAUGCGAGAGGUAGCACGUCCUCUUAAACCGUGGCGCUUAUGCAGCGUCUCGACGGGCUUAAAAAUUUGUCGAAAGGUAAACAUAAUAUUUUCGUUCGUCGUCCGCCCGACCACCAAUAACUGUACCUGCAACACCACCACCGCCACCGUCACCUACGUUGCCUGCCCCAAAUAAACUUAAAACCUUAAACAACUAAAACGGUGCCACGGUCUCGAAAAUCCCUGCGCUAUUACAUCGCCGAAAGUGUAUAAUAUAUCAGGUAAUAUUGUUAUUAUAUGCUAAUCAAUUUCGAAGUGAAAUAUUGAAAGUUUGAUUACACGCGAACAGUUGAUUAUUUUUCACACGCCGUCGUAACCGGUGAUACUGUAGCGCGUAAUCGGACUUAGUUGGACCAAUAGCUUUCGAAGAAACUCGGUAAACUAUAUGGUGAUAAUGUAUUAUUAUGAUGAAAUUACAUUUUUAAAAGGGCGCCUGUAUAAUAUUCCGUUUAAAGACGUUAUAAUCUAUAUAGUUAAUUGAUGCUCUCUAAAAGGAAGAAAUGUCCGGGGGUUUGCCGAGUUUUGGGAAUAAGAUGAUUACUGAAACUUUCCAUUGGAGAGAGGAGUAUGAUAAUAUUCUUAAAAUUACAUUAAGAACGUGGAUUGCACGAACAAGUGCCCCUUCUUAGAGAGUUGACAGGUAACCACAGCGGUAAUAAGAUCAGAUCCAGGUGAAGAGGAAAUGAUUUAAUACAGUAUUGGAUUUCACCUGGAGAAAACGGUUGUGGAACGUGAUAAAUAGGUAAAGCAGAAGAAAGAUAGUUUUCGAUAUUUUUAUCAUGAACGUUUUUGCCACUAUAGUUGUAAGGUUCCGAGACUUUCGAGAAGUGCAUACUAAAAGUGUCUGCUUGAUCUUUAUCAACUUUACACCGGUAUUUUUAAACAGAGCUUGGAUGUUUGUGUGCUUAAGGCAACCGCGGGUAGCUCUUGAAAGAGAUCCAUUUUUUGCCGUCAGAGAGGAGGUCCAGUUGUAGAAAGAAUCGAGUUUUAGUUUGUUUAGCAUACGUUUGAGAGUCGAGGCGAAAUUGUUUAAUGUGUUUUUGUCGAACGGAUGUCUAGUACGUUGCCAGCAAGCUCUGGCUUGGGGCGUUUUUGUGUUAUAAGUUCGCGAACAUGGGUGGAAGUUGAAGGAUAGUUGGCAUGGUAACUUUGCGAGGUGGAUGAAUUCCAAGCAGCCAAUAAGACGGAUUCUAUGAAGGUUUGGAUGGCAUCAAGAGUCUUUAGAGAAGUGUUUGGGUUAAUUUUUAGAUCAGGAAUUUCACGAAACUUAGUUCAGUUCUUGGAGCCAUUUGUUAGACAUGUUUUACUGGACCGGCAGAAAGAAAUAUAAUCCAGAGAAAGGAAAACAGGGGAAUGGUAAAUACAAGGGUCAACUAAACUCUUUAUUGAAUGAUUAGAGUUAGAAGGUAUCCAAAAUGUACGGACGCUUACCAGUAGAGGAUGACCAGUAGGUCGGAUUUGGGAGAUUGAGAAUAAUGCGAUGGUUGUUUUUAACAGUUUGAAAUAGGAACCUUUUGGGUUUGUUGUGCGGCAACCCCAAACAUAAUAAUAUUAGAAAUUCGAAAAGCUAUAAUCUCGAAACUUAGUAAGUCCGUUCAAUUCUGACUUCACUAUUGUUCCUAAAUCGGCAAUAUGCACGUAUUCAAAAAAAAAAAAAAAAUGUGGAAAAUUAGAUUUGUUCCACAUAAUUUUUUACGCAAAACGAUUUUCGUCAAAAUUCGAUAUAAAAAUUAUUACGACCGGUUUUCCGCCAGAGUUUCGAGUAUUUACGAACGCUUUGAAAAAAACUUGAAACGACAACGUACGUUUUCCGCGGAUUAUAUUUUGAUUUCAAACCGGUCGGAAAAUCGAAAGAAAAAAAAAAACAACGCACAUCGGAUAAGACGCACGCGCCACACUCCGCACCCGGAGCUUGAAAACCGGUAGAAAAACCGUUUACAGAAAGCGAAAAAAAAAAAAAAAAAAUAAAAAAAAUAACGACACGAACGUAAGUCGUGAAAACCCGCCGCCGACGCGUUCCCGCGUCGCGGUCCGCCGGACGUGCCCCCGGCCGCCGGGGUCCGCGUCGCCGACCCGCGCCCGCGGGAUUUCGGCCGCCACGUCCGCGCGUAUCGGGCGCGUAUCGAGAGCCCCGUCAACAACCGCCGCCGCCGCCGGGGUCCCCGCGUUCCGCGUACGCGUCGCCGGUAACUUUGCAACUCGUUACGCACCGCGCGGCGGAUAAAAGUCAUAUAUAAUAUCCCGCCGCCACCCGGCCCGCGCGGGCCGUCGGGCGUGACAAGCGCGAACAAUGCGCGUGACGUGUGCGACCCGCGCGCGUCCGCCCGUCCACGUUUUUCUUUCGCGCGGACACGAACGCAACACACACGCCGGCGUUGCUGCUGUUGUCGUCGUUGUUGUUGUUGUUGUUGUUGUUAUUAUUAUUACCGCGGGCGACGACGACGCUACCGAGAUAGCGUCAGCGCGAGCGGUUUUAAUGCGGAAGUGUUGCGCGCGUGUGUCGCCCGCGCGUUCUCAUAUCCUCUCGCGGGCGGCGGCAAUGUCCGGUCUAAACGCACGGCGCACCGCCGCCGCCGCCGCCGUCGCGCUAAUGACGAUCGCGCACCUUCGCCGCCCCGCGUGCACGCGUGGUACGCCGGCAUUGUGUACGGUGUACGCGCACACGUAUAUAUCCGUAUACACGUAUGUAACGACGUUUUACCCCCCCCCCUCCCCUGCACCCCUCCCGCCGCCACGCGCGCGCGCGGAGCGGCGGCGAUCCCGUCCGUAAUGACGCGGAGGGUGCACCGGCAGAGUUGGCUAGCGGCCAAAAAACGGUUGUUUACCGAUAAAAAUCGGGUUGUUAUUGCGUUAUAAACAUUUUUUUUUUUUUUUUUUCCCGUCCCCCUUUCUUUUUCGCGCGCGCACCCACACACGCGCGCGCUUAUACGUACACCGUAUACAUCACGACCGCCGCCCUAAAUAACAUCGCGCGGCUAUUUGUUAUUGAUUACAGACCAGCACGCGUCGAUGAGUAUACGCCGGCCAAGA